rnacentral:misc_RNA from 1 species
CCGCUAGGCCGUUGGGAUGGAGGCCGAGUUGUUACGAUAGAAGGGGAGGCGAGGAUGUUGCAAAGAAGUCAGAAGUUGUUGGGGAGCCGCUAUAAUUGGGAGUUGUUGUGUUGGUUGCUAAGAAGAAGGAGGGGAGCCGUUGGCGGAUGAUAGGGUCAAGUUUGUUGUGGGAGGCACGGAUGUAGUUAGCGGGGAGUGAAGCCGAGGAAUUAUAUAUAGCCAGAGGAGGCAGCGAGAGAGGGGUACUCUCGGUGGUGGAAAGUGGUGGUAUAAGCAUCGAACAGAGGAGGAACGGGCCAGUGG